rnacentral:rRNA from 1 species
UACGUAGGGUGCAGGCGUUAAUCGGAAUUAUUGGGCGUAAAGCGCGCGCAGGCGGUUUCUUAAGUCUGAUGUGAAAGCCCACGGCUCAACCGUGGAGGGUCAUUGGAAACUGGGGAACUUGAGUGCAGAAGAGAAAAGCGGAAUUCCACGUGUAGCGGUGAAAUGCGUAGAGAUGUGGAGGAACACCAGUGGCGAAGGCGGCUUUUUGGUCUGUAACUGACGCUGAGGCGCGAAAGCGUGGGGAGCAAACAGG